rnacentral:rRNA from 1 species
AAAGGUAAGCUACUAAGAGCGAAUGGUGGAUGCCUUGACUGGUAGAGGCGAUGAAGGACGUACUAGACUGCGAUAAGCUAGGUGGAGCUGUCAAGAAGCUUUGAUGCCUAGAUUUCCGAAUGGGGCAACCCAGUAUAUAGAGAUAUAUACUACCAUAAUGGAGCGAACGAGGGGAAUUGAAACAUCUUAGUACCCUCAGGAAAAGAAAUCAAACGAGAUUGCGUCAGUAGCGGCGAGCGAAAGCGUAAGAGGGCAAACCCAGUGCUUGCACUGGGGGUUGUAGGACUGCAAUGUGCAAAAGGAAAGGUUAGCAGAACACUCUGGAAAGUGUAGCCAUAGAGGGUGAUAGUCCCGUAUGCAAAAACCUAACCUUAGCUAGCAGUAUCCUGAGUAGGGCGGGACACGAGAAAUCCUGUCUGAAGCUGGGUAGACCACUAUCCAACCCUAAAUACUACUACCAGAUCGAUAGCGAACAAGUACCGUGAGGGAAAGGUGAAAAGAACGGCGGUGAGCCGAGUGAAAUAGAACCUGAAACCAUUUGCUUACAAUCAUUCAGAGCACUAUGUAGCAAUACAGUGUGAUGGACUGCCUUUUGCAUAAUGAGCCUGCGAGUUGUGGUGUCUGGCAAGGUUAAGCUAACGCGAAGCCGUAGCGAAAGCGAGUCUGAAUAGGGCGCUAAGUCAGAUGCUGCAGACCCGAAACGAAGUGAUCUAUCCAUGAGCAGGUUGAAGCUAGUGUAAGAACUAGUGGAGGACCGAACCCGCUAGCGUUGAAAAGCUAUGGGAUGACUUGUGGAUAGGGGUGAAAGGCCAAUCAAACUUCGUGAUAGCUGGUUCUCUCCGAAAUAUAUUU